rnacentral:lncRNA from 1 species
UUAUUAUUAUACCAGAUUUAGGAUUUCAGGCCCGUUAAAAUAUUUGACUAAUCCCUUAGUAGGAGAUAGAAUACAAGAGGCUGUAUUAGGACCUAGUUGUGAACUCAUUUACUUUAUACUAAAGGUGUAUGUAAAGUUGUCAAUAUGAUUCCAUUGUACUGUUUUAUCAUCUGUUGUGGGUUUGAGGGAGUGGGGCGGAUUUCCCCUCUAUAGUGUUCUGAAGCCAUGGUUACCAUUCCUGUAGCAAAAUAAAGCCCUGAAUAGGAACCCCAGAACCCACUCUACUUUGCAGCUUCCACCUUCUACUUCAGUAAUUAAUAGACUUAGUAUGAAGGAGGUAUGGUCUGAUUAAGACAUUCUUAUAGUAAGUUUAUAAUAAGUGUACAUACUUAUUUGUUGUUGUUUAUACAGGUUUUUUGAAAUUAAAUAUUAUCUUUGUAUAACAUAUUCAUUUAAUCAUUACAUUUUUCUGUUUGUCUGAAUAAUACAUUAAAUUUCUAGUCACACAGAA